CCUACGGUGGGCAGCAGUAGGGAAUAUUGCUCAAUGGUGGACACCCUGAAGCAGCAACGCCGCGUGUAGGAUGAAGGUUUUCGGAUUGUAAACUCCUUUUGUUAGAGAAGAUACUGACGGUAUCUAACGAAUAAGCACCGACUAACCCCGUGCCAGCAGCCGCGGUAAUACGGAGGGUGCAAGCGUUACUCGGAAUCACUGGGCGUAAAGAGCGCGUAGGCGGGAUAGCAAGACAGAUGUGAAAUCCUAUGGCUUAACCAUAUAACUGCAUUUGAAACUGUUAUUCUAGAGUAUGGGAGAGGGAAGUGGAAGUCUUGGUGGAGGGGUAAAAUCCGCAGAGAUCAAGAGGAAUAGUCAUUGCGAAGGCGACCUGCUAGAACAUAACUGACGCUGAUGCGCGAAAGCGUGGGGAGCAAACAGGAUUAGAUACCCGUGUAGUC
rnacentral:rRNA from 1 species